ensembl:lncRNA
AGGAGCUGACCAGCAAGAAAAGGCUGGGAAAACAUGAGCGCUCGGAGGAGAAACAAGAUGGCGGCCACCAGCGAAGGAAGCCGGCUGAACCCAGAAAGGAAUUCAGGUAGAGAUCAAGCCAGAGAAGCAAAAAAUCACCUGAAAACCUACGGAUUUCAAGAAAGCAGGAAGCAAGAAUCCAGAGGCCAUAUGAGAAAGAAGAGGAGAUAUUUUAUGGAGUAAGCUGUCCUGCAACGUAGGGAGGCAAUGGACUCUCUGUGGAAAAGGAUCUUGGUUUCCAGUUCACGAGUGGGGCUAAGAGAAGUCACUCUAGCCUUCAACUGCAUCUGAUAAUUAUGCUGAAGUACAGCAAGAUGAUUUGAAGCACUGCACUAAUUCAGGAGUAAUGAUGCAUGAAUUACUGAUGCAAUCUUUCAAGAUGUAACCUGUCAUUCAAUACGGGAUCAGCCACCAACAGAAGGCUCUGAUCUGACAUCAGUAUGGUACAGUAGUAUGGUUAACACUGGCCUUCAACCCAGCCUUCAAGAGCCCCCAGAGAGCCGUUAGGUGCUGAACUUGUGUCUCCCUGUGGAGCCAAGUGAAGUCUUAUAUCCCUACCGGCUGCGCUCCUCAUCGGCUGACUCUCAGAAUCCCUUGUUUUUAGAAAUUCAGUAAGUUCUCCACAUACAAACAAGCUCUGUUCUGAGAGCUCAUCUGUAAGUCCAAUUUGUCUGUAAGUCCAACUAAGUGAGCCUAGGUACCAAAUUAACACAAUCAGCUGUGGAGUACUGUAGCGCUGCUGCUGCUGCUGCUGCUGCUAAGUCGUUUCAGUCAUGUUCGACUCUGUGCGACCCCAGAGACAGCAGCCCACCAGGCUUCCCUGUCCCUGGGAUUCUCCAGGCAAGAACACUGGAGUGGGUUGCCAUUUCCUUCUCCAGUGCAUCAAAGUGAAAAGUGAAAGUGAAGUAGCUCAAAGUACAAUAAGUUUAUAAUACUUUUCACACAAAUAAUAUAUAAAAACAAACACAAAAAUAAAUAUGCUUAAUCUUAUAGUACAGUACCUUGAAAACUACAGUAGUACAGUACAAUAGGGCUUCCCUGGUGGUUCAGUGGUAAAGAACCUGCCUGCCAAUGCUGG